CCUGCUCAAUGACCCUAAAUAGCCGCUUUAAGUGCUAAGGUAGCAUAAUAAAUUACUCUCUAAUUAAGAGAUAGUAUGAAAGGAAAAACGAUUUAUCCCCUCUAUCAGAUUAUAAACUAAAAUUCCCUUAACAGUCACAACCCUGUUUAAAUAACAGCAGGACGACAAGACCCUAAUGAACUUUCACAUAUAAUUUAACUGGGAAGGUAAAAAACUAUAUCUUUAAUUCCACAUCCAAUUAACGCCUCUCCUUGAAUUAAACAAAGUUACCGUAGGGAUAACAGCAUAAUAAUUUAAAAAAGCCCAUAUAAAAUAAAUUGAUUAUGACCUCGAUGUUGAAUUA
rnacentral:rRNA from 1 species